rnacentral:tRNA from 1 species
GCCUUUAUAGUUUAAAGUAAAACACUGAUCUUGUAAAUCAAAAAUAGACUAUCUUAUAGGCU